UGGCGGACGGGUGAGUAAUGCUUGGGAACUUGCCUUUGCGAGGGGGAUAACUAUUGGAAACGAUAGCUAAUACCGCAUAAUGUUUUCGAACCAAAGUGGGCUUAGGCUCACGCGCAGAGAGAGGCCCAAGUGAGAUUAGCUAGUUGGUAAGGUAAAGGCUUACCAAGGCGACGAUCUCUAGCUGUUCUGAGAGGAAGAUCAGCCACACUGGGACUGAGACACGGCCCAGACUCCUACGGGAGGCAGCAGUGGGGAAUAUUGCACAAUGGGGGGAACCCUGAUGCAGCCAUGCCGCGUGUGUGAAGAAGGCCUUCGGGUUGUAAAGCACUUUCAGACGUGAGGAAGGGUUGAUGGUUAAUACCCGUCAACAUUGACGUUAGCGUCAGAAGAAGCACCGGCUAACUCCGUGCCAGCAGCCGCGGUAAUACGGGGGGUGCGAGCGUUAAUCGGAAUUACUGGGCGUAAAGCGCACGCAGGCGGUUUGUUAAGCUAGAAGUGAAAGCCCCGGGCUCAACCUGGGAAGGCCUUUUAGAACUGGCAAGCUAGAGUCUUGGAGAGGGGAGUGGAAUUCCAGGUGUAGCGGUGAAAUGCGUAGAUAUCUGGAGGAACAUCAGUGGCGAAGGCGGCUCCCUGGCCAAAGACUGACGCUCAUGUGCGAAAGUGUGGGUAGCGAACUAGGAUUAGAUACCCUGGUAGUCCACACCGUAAACGCUGUCUACUAGCUGUGUGUGAAUUUAAUUUGUGCGUA
rnacentral:rRNA from 1 species